rnacentral:rRNA from 1 species
GAGUGGCGAACGGGUGAGUAACACGUGGGUAACCUGCCCAUCAGAAGGGGAUAACACUUGGAAACAGGUGCUAAUACCGUAUAACAAUCAAAACCGCAUGGUUUUGAUUUGAAAGGCGCUUUCGGGUGUCGCUGAUGGAUGGACCCGCGGUGCAUUAGCUAGUUGGUGAGGUAACGGCUCACCAAGGCCACGAUGCAUAGCCGACCUGAGAGGGUGAUCGGCCACAUUGGGACUGAGACACGGCCCAAACUCCUACGGGAGGCAGCAGUAGGGAAUCUUCGGCAAUGGACGAAAGUCUGACCGAGCAACGCCGCGUGAGUGAAGAAGGUUUUCGGAUCGUAAAACUCUGUUGUUAGAGAAGAACAAGGAUGAGAGUAACUGUUCAUCCCUUGACGGUAUCUAACCAGAAAGCCACGGCUAACUACGUGCCAGCAGCCGCGGUAAUACGUAGGUGGCAAGCGUUGUCCGGAUUUAUUGGGCGUAAAGCGAGCGCAGGCGGUUUCUUAAGUCUGAUGUGAAAGCCCCCGGCUCAACCGGGGAGGGUCAUUGGAAACUGGGAGACUUGAGUGCAGAAGAGGAGAGUGGAAUUCCAUGUGUAGCGGUGAAAUGCGUAGAUAUAUGGAGGAACACCAGUGGCGAAGGCGGCUCUCUGGUCUGUAACUGACGCUGAGGCUCGAAAGCGUGGGGAGCAAACAGGAUUAGAUACCCUGGUAGUCCACGCCGUAAACGAUGAGUGCUAAGUGUUGGAGGGUUUCCGCCCUUCAGUGCUGCAGCUAACGCAUUAAGCACUCCGCCUGGGGAGUACGACCGCAAGGUUGAAACUCAAAGGAAUUGACGGGGGCCCGCACAAGCGGUGGAGCAUGUGGUUUAAUUCGAAGCAACGCGAAGAACCUUACCAGGUCUUGACAUCCUUUGACCACUCUAGAGAUAGAGC